AAAUUGAAGAGUUUGAUCAUGGCUCAGAUUGAACGCUGGCGGCAGGCCUAACACAUGCAAGUCGAACGGUAACAGGAAGCAGCUUGCUGCUUCGCUGACGAGUGGCGGACGGGUGAGUAAUGUCUGGGAAACUGCCUGAUGGAGGGGGAUAACUACUGGAAACGGUGGCUAAUACCGCAUAACGUCGCAAGACCAAAGAGGGGGACCUUCGGGCCUCUUGCCAUCAGAUGUGCCCAGAUGGGAUUAGCUAGUUGGUGAGGUAACGGCUCACCAAGGCGACGAUCCCUAGCUGGUCUGAGAGGAUGACCAGCCACACUGGAACUGAGACACGGUCCAGACUCCUACGGGAGGCAGCAGUGGGGAAUAUUGCACAAUGGGCGCAAGCCUGAUGCAGCCAUGCCGCGUGUAUGAAGAAGGCCUUCGGGUUGUAAAGUACUUUCAGCGGGGAGGAAGGUGUUGUGGUUAAUAACCGCAGCAAUUGACGUUACCCGCAGAAGAAGCACCGGCUAACUCCGUGCCAGCAGCCGCGGUAAUACGGAGGGUGCAAGCGUUAAUCGGAAUUACUGGGCGUAAAGCGCACGCAGGCGGUCUGUCAAGUCGGAUGUGAAAUCCCCGGGCUCAACCUGGGAACUGCAUUCGAAACUGGCAGGCUUGAGUCUUGUAGAGGGGGGUAGAAUUCCAGGUGUAGCGGUGAAAUGCGUAGAGAUCUGGAGGAAUACCGGUGGCGAAGGCGGCCCCCUGGACAAAGACUGACGCUCAGGUGCGAAAGCGUGGGGAGCAAACAGGAUUAGAUACCCUGGUAGUCCACGCCGUAAACGAUGUCUACUUGGAGGUUGUGCCCUUGAGGCGUGGCUUCCGGAGCUAACGCGUUAAGUAGACCGCCUGGGGAGUACGGCCGCAAGGUUAAAACUCAAAUGAAUUGACGGGGGCCCGCACAAGCGGUGGAGCAUGUGGUUUAAUUCGAUGCAACGCGAAGAACCUUACCUGGUCUUGACAUCCACAGAACUUUCCAGAGAUGGAUUGGUGCCUUCGGGAACUGUGAGACAGGUGCUGCAUGGCUGUCGUCAGCUCGUGUUGUGAAAUGUUGGGUUAAGUCCCGCAACGAGCGCAACCCUUAUCCUUUGUUGCCAGCGAUUAGGUCGGGAACUCAAAGGAGACUGCCAGUGAUAAACUGGAGGAAGGUGGGGAUGACGUCAAGUCAUCAUGGCCCUUACGACCAGGGCUACACACGUGCUACAAUGGCGCAUACAAAGAGAAGCGACCUCGCGAGAGCAAGCGGACCUCAUAAAGUGCGUCGUAGUCCGGAUUGGAGUCUGCAACUCGACUCCAUGAAGUCGGAAUCGCUAGUAAUCGUGGAUCAGAAUGCCACGGUGAAUACGUUCCCGGGCCUUGUACACACCGCCCGUCACACCAUGGGAGUGGGUUGCAAAAGAAGUAGGUAGCUUAACCUUCGGGAGGGCGCUUACCACUUUGUGAUUCAUGACUGGGGUGAAGUCGUAACAAGGUAACCGUAGGGGAACCUGCGGUUGGAUCACCUCCUUACCUUAAAGA
rnacentral:rRNA from 1 species